ACUCAAAUGAAUUGACGGGGGCCCGCACAAGCAGCGGAGCAUGUGGUUUAAUUCGACGAGACGCGAAGAACCUUACCUGGGCUUGACAUGUCUCUGACCGGUGUGGAAACACAUCUUCCCUUCGGGGCAGAGUCACAGGUGGUGCAUGGCUGUCGUCAGCUCGUGUCGUGAGAUGUUGGGUUAAGUCCCGCAACGAGCGCAACCCCCGUCGUAUGUUGCCAGCAUUUAGUUGGGGACUCAUACGAGACUGCCGGUGACAAACCGGAGGAAGGUGGGGAUGACGUCAAGUCAUCAUGCCCCUUAUGUCCAGGGCUACACACGUGCUACAUUGGCCGGUACAAAGGGUUGCGAUACCGCGAGGUGGAGCGAAUCCCAUAAAGCCGGUCUCGGUUCGGAUUGGAGGCUGAAACUCGCCUCCAUGAAGGUGGAGUUGCUAGUAAUCCCGGAUCAGCAACGCCGGGGUGAAUACGUUCCCGGGCCUUGUACACACCGCCCGU
rnacentral:rRNA from 1 species